UAAUACCGCAUAAGCCCACGGCUCGGCAUCGAGCAGAGGGAAAAGGAGCAAUCCGCUUUGAGAUGGCCUCGCGUCCGAUUAGCUAGUUGGUGAGGUAACGGCCCACCAAGGCGACGAUCGGUAGCCGGACUGAGAGGUUGAACGGCCACAUUGGGACUGAGACACGGCCCAGACCCCUACGGGAGGCAGCAGUGUGGAAUAUUGCACAAUGGGGGAAACCCUGAUGCAGCGACGCCGCGUGGAGGAAGAAGGUCUUCGGAUUGUAAACUCCUGUUGUUGAGGAAGAUAAUGACGGUACUCAACAAGGAAGUGACGGCUAACUACGUGCCAGCAGCCGCGGUAAAACGUAGGUCACAAGCGUUGUCCGGAAUUACUGGGUGUAAAGGGAGCGCAGGCGGGAAGACAAGUUGGAAGUGAAAUCCAUGGGCUCAACCCAUGAACUGCUUUCAAAACUGUUUUUCUUGAGUAGUGCAGAGGUAGGCGGAAUUCCCGGUGUAGCGGUGGAAUGCGUAGAUAUCGGGAGGUACACCAGUGGCGAAGGCGGCCUACUGGGCACCAACUGACGCUGAGGCUCGAAAGUGUGGGUAGCAAACAGGAUUAGAUACCCUGGUAGUCCACACUGUAAACGAUGAUUACUAGGUGUUGGAGGAUUGACCCCUUCAGUGCCGCAGUUAACACAAUAAGUAAUCCACCUGGGGAGUACGACCGCAAGGUUGAAACUCAAAGGAAUUGACGGGGGCCCGCACAAGCAGUGGAGUAUGUGGUUUAAUUCGACGCAACGCGAAGAACCUUACCAAGUCUUGACAUCCUGCGACGCACAUAGAAAUAUGUGUUUCCUUCGGGACGCAGAGACAGGUGGUGCAUGGUUGUCGUCAGCUCGUGUCGUGAGAUGUUGGGUUAAGUCCCGCAACGAGCGCAACCCUUAUGGUCAGUUACUACGCAAGAGGACUCUGGCCAGACUGCCGUUGACAAAACGGAGGAAGGUGGGGAUGACGUCAAAUCAUCAUGCCCUUUAUGACUUGGGCUACACACGUACUACAAUGGCGUUAAACAAAGAGAAGCAAGACCGCGAGGUGGAGCAAAACUCAGAAACAACGUCCCAGUUCGGACUGCAGGCUGCAACUCGCCUGCACGAAGUCGGAAUUGCUAGUAAUCGCAGAUCAGCAUGCUGCGGUGAAUACGUUCCCGGGCCUUGUACACACCGCCCGUCACACCAUGAGAGCCGGGGGGACCCGAAGUCGGUAGUCUAACCGCAAGGAGGACGCCGCCGAAGGUAAAACUGGUGAUUGGGGUGAAGUCGUAACAAGGUA
rnacentral:rRNA from 1 species